UGAUAGCUGAGAAGGCAAGCAGCGAAGAUCAGACGACGACAGAGCUUCUGGAGUCUGAUCAGGAGCCUGAUUUUGAUGCCAUUUGGGUUUUAGGGCUUUAAACGGCCCUAUGGGGAGCAGAACCAUGAGUGGGUGCAGCCGUGAGGAGUCUAAUGAGUAGAGAGGGACAUCAGUUGAGGGAGGCUUAGGUAGCAAUUGAGAAGAGUUUAGCGGGCAUCGAGUGCAUGCAGCGAGUAGAGCAGACACUACAGAGCAUCGACAGGGGAUCGGGGGCAGAGUAAAGCAUCAGGCAGAAUAGCUGUGGAGAGGCAUGAUAUAGCAGUUCGCUCCAUAGGAAGCAUCCAAGGACAUCGAGGACCC
rnacentral:lncRNA from 1 species